CCUACGGGCGGCAGCAGUGGGGAAUAUUGGACAAUGGGGGCAACCCUGAUCCAGCCAUGCCGCGUGUGUGAAGAAGGCCCUCGGGUUGUAAAGCACUUUCAGUGAGGAAGAACGCCUGGUGGUUAAUACCCAUCAGGAAAGACAUCACUCACAGAAGAAGCACCGGCUAACUCCGUGCCAGCAGCCGCGGUAAUACGGAGGGUGCGAGCGUUAAUCGGAAUUACUGGGCGUAAAGCGCGCGUAGGUGGCUUGAUAAGCCGGUUGUGAAAGCCCCGGGCUCAACCUGGGAACGGCAUCCGGAACUGUCAAGCUAGAGUGCAGGAGAGGAAGGUAGAAUUCCCGGUGUAGCGGUGAAAUGCGUAGAGAUCGGGAGGAAUACCAGUGGCGAAGGCGGCCUUCUGGACUGACACUGACACUGAGGUGCGAAAGCGUGGGUAGCAAACAGGAUUAGAUACUCCGGUAGUC
rnacentral:rRNA from 1 species